rnacentral:rRNA from 1 species
GACGAACGCUGGCGGCGUGCUUAACACAUGCAAGUCGAACGGGCCUUGUCCCCUUUUUUUUUGGGGGUGGGGUUAGUGGCGAACGGGUGAGUAACACGUGAGUAACCUGCCCCUCACUUCUGGAUAACCGCUUGAAAGGGUGGCUAAUACGGGGUGUUCUGGCCUGCUCGCAUGGGUGGGUUUGGAAAGAUUCGACCGGUUUGGUUGUUUUGGUGGGGGAUGGGCUCGCGGCCUAUCAGCUUGUUGGUGGGGUGAUGGCCUGCCAAGGCUUUGACGGGUAGCCGGCCUGAGAGGGUGGGCGGUCACACUGGGACUGAGACACGGCCCAGACUCCUACGGGAGGCAGCAGUGGGGAAUAUUGCACAAGGGGCGCAAGCCUGAUGCAGCGACGCCGCGUGAGGGAUGGAGGCCUUCGGGUUGUGAACCUCUUUCGCCAGUGAAGAAGGUCCUGCUCUUUGUGGUGGGGUUGACGGUAGCUGGGUUAAUGAAGCGCCGGCUAACUACGUG